rnacentral:rRNA from 1 species
GCGAAUAGCCCAGUAACACGUGGCCAAACUACCCUUCGGAGCACCAUCCUCGGGAAACUGAGGCUAAUAGUGCAUCCCGCACUCACCCUGGAAUGGCGAGUGCGUCAAACGCUCCGGCGCCGAAGGAUGUGGCUGCGGCCGAUUAGGUAGACGGUGGGGUAACGGCCCACCGUGCCGAUAAUCGGUACGGGUCAUGAGAGUGAGAACCCGGAGACGGAAUCUGAGACAAGAUACCGGGCCCUACGGGGCGCAGCAGGCGCGAAACCUUUACACUGCACGACAGUGCGAUAGGGGGAUUCCGAGUGCGAGGGCAUAUAGCCCUCGCUUUUCUGGACCGUAAGGAGGUCCAGGAACAAGGGCCGGGCAAGACCGGUGCCAGCCGCCGCGGUAAUACCGGCAGCCCGAGUGAUGGCCGAUAUUAUUGGGCCUAAAGCGUCCGUAGCCGGCCGGGCAAGUCCGUUGGGAAAUCCACGCGCUCAACGCGUGGGCGUCCAGCGGAAACUGUUCGGCUUGGGGCCGGAGGACUCGAGGGGUACGUCCGGGGUAGGAGUGAAAUCCCGUAAUCCUGGACGGACCACCGGUGGCGAAAGCGCCUCGAGAGGACGGACCCGACGGUGAGGGACGAAAGCCAGGGUCUCGAACCGGAUUAGAUACCCGGGUAGUCCUGGCCGUAAACGAUGUCUGCUAGGUGUGGCGCAGGCUACGAGCCUGCGCUGUGCCGCAGGGAAGCCGAGAAGCAGACCGCCUGGGAAGUACGUCUGCAAGGAUGAAACUUAA